rnacentral:rRNA from 1 species
GACGAACGCUGGCGGUGUGCUUAACACAUGCAAGUCGAACGGAAAGGCCCUGCUUUUGUGGGGUGCUCGAGUGGCGAACGGGUGAGUAACACGUGAGUAACCUGCCCUUGACUUUGGGAUAACUUCAGGAAACUGGGGCUAAUACCGGAUAGGAGCUCCUGCUGCAUGGUGGGGGUUGGAAAGUUUCGGCGGUUGGGGAUGGACUCGCGGCUUAUCAGCUUGUUGGUGGGGUAGUGGCUUACCAAGGCUUUGACGGGUAGCCGGCCUGAGAGGGUGACCGGCCACAUUGGGACUGAGAUACGGCCCAGACUCCUACGGGGGGCAGCAGUGGGGAAUAUUGCACAAUGGGCGGAAGCCUGAUGCAGCAACGCCGCGUGCGGGAUGACGGCCUUCGGGUUGUAAACCGCUUUAGCCUGUGACGAAGCGUGAGUGACGGUAAUGGGUAAAGAAGCACCGGCUAACUACGUG